rnacentral:lncRNA from 1 species
AUGGGCUCAACACUGAAGGUAGCGGGAAUUAAAGCGGAUCACGCAGAGAGAAAGGGAGGGGCCGCUUUCGUCCUAUAUCCUGAUUGGGCUGGAGUUUGGGCCUGGACAGAUGGGUCAGCAUUUGAUUACGCUUCUUGGACUCUUGGACAACCUUACAUUGCCUUUAAUCGGGACUGUAUCGUAUUCAAUACAGACGGAAACUGGAUUAAUCUUAAUGGUGCCAUACUGUAUCCAUCUAUCUGUGCUACAACAGUUACUACAACCACAACUGCUGUUCCCUCGACUACACUUCCUUCGACCUCUUUUCCUUCGACUGCUCUUACCUCAACUACUGAACCCCUGACUACUGUUCCCUCAACUGUUGCUCCCUUUACUACUGUUCCCUGGCUGGUGACAAAUGGUUCAACUUCACCAAGUA